UGAAAGCCCAGCCUUUCUUGUGACAGAGGCU
rnacentral:piRNA from 1 species